CGGUUGGGUGCCUCCAUUAUGUUGAAAGCAUGAUUCUGUGAACGGGUUUGAAUUUGUCCCCAGGGCUUUAUUUUUAGAUAGCAGAUCUGUCUGUUCUCAUCUGCUAUUCUCUGUCUUUCCCUUUUUAUUAAUGAGUAAAGACGGAGAGUGUGGCAUCUUUCCUUUUUGUCUCUAUAUUUAAUGAAGUGUGCUUUUAAGCUAAUCAUGUGUUAUUUCAGUCCCUAAAUGCACAAUUAUGCUGAAUUUUGUGUUGUACUGUAGGGUGCUAUUCUUAGUUUUGACCUUUUGUAUUGGUCUCUGGCAUUUGAGGAGGAAUAGCAAAUACUCUGACUGCACUAAAACGUGCGCGGAAUGACUUCAUUCAUAAUCAGACAGUGAAUAUCAUGCGGCUUUCCAAAGAUGAUGUCUUUUAUGUUUUUCAGCUGCUGGUGUACUCUAGUGCAGGAAAGUCCCUUGGAAAAGAAAUCGCCACAUUGAUUUUCCUGCUGAGUAUAAGGAACCAUUAUAUCCUGUCUACACCCUAGAGUUUCCUGUCAGAUCUCCACUGUUCUGUUGACUUUGACAGUAUUUUCUCAUCGUGUCAUGCCAGAAUUAGGUUUGGCUUGCUUGGCCAGUGCAUUUCUGCCAGGUUAUUAGAGGAGGAGUGGAGAAAGUGGAGAAAGGUCUUCAUCAUUUCGUCAACACAGUUUGUUGUUUUACUUCAAUCUAAAUACAAAUAUCAAAUGCCAGUUUGUUUUGGUUUGUUUUUACCCAUAGACAUUGAACAAAUAUUCCAUUCAUUUCAAGAUUCUGUAUAUUUUUAAUUAGCAUUUUACAAAUGUAAAUAUUGAAACGGCUGUCAAUAAGACAGAUCAUCUUUAGUGUGUAGUACCAAAAUCGAAUGGUUAGCUUGUAAAUUAGUCAAACGUUGAGAUGUUUUCUUUAAACUAGAUAAGGACCUCCCUGUCAAAGGUUAGAUGGGGUCACUUGUGAUUAGAAAAGCUCAUGUGAUCAAUACUUCUGAUUGAACGCAGCCACAGUAAGCAGUUUUGGGGCGUUUGAGGCCAUCAGCUCUGUGUUUAACUGAAGGAAAACACCCCUUCAAUAUUGGUUGACUUUUUGGAGAUAUUUGGCCAUUAUGGGUCUUCUGUUCUUUGUGUGUUUUUGUUGCCGACUUAGUGUCUACAGGAACUUUUCAGAAGUUCUGAGGUAAUUCUGAGGUUAUUGCAGAUAUUUGUAAACUUUCUCGAUUUGCUUUCAUAUGCGGCUGGGGUCACACCUUGAGCAAAUAUUGUAUUUUCAUCUGUAAUAUAGAUGAAUGUGACAGCUGUUGCUAGGCGCAUUUUCUCAUAUUUUUAGCAACAGUCACUGGCUGUGUAGGUGUUUCAUGUCUUGUCAACACACUGGUGACCUUCUCCAUCUACAUUCUUCUUCUCUGGCGUCACAGAAACAGUUGCUGAGCAACAGAGGU
rnacentral:lncRNA from 1 species